CAGAGAACAAACGUCAGGCAGUGGAGGUUGCCUCCAGAGCCUCAUGAAGGUGAAAAAGGGGCUGGAGAGAUGGCUUUUGGGCAUGUUGCCCAGUCUGGUCUCCAAUUCCUCAUCCGCCCCAGCCUCCCAAAGUGCUAGGAUUACAGACAUGAGCCACCACGCCCAGCCCUAUUCAAAUUUUUGUCUUAAUAUCUAGCACAUAGAGCCACUCUGCAAACUUAGGAUGGCAAUAUCUGCAACUGAUGCAUUAGGGGGGUUACAAUAACACUGGGAAAAAAGUUAUAAAUUACAAAAGAUGCCAUAAUGCUGUUGCAAGACUUUCUGGGGUAUUUGCAAAC
rnacentral:lncRNA from 1 species